rnacentral:rRNA from 1 species
GACGAACGCUGGCGGCGUGCUUAACACAUGCAAGUCGAACGAAGUGGCGAACGGGUGAGUUACGCGUAAUCAACCUUCCUUUCAGAGGGGGACAACAGUCAGAAACGACUGCUAAUACCUCAUACCUUAGGUGGGGAUUGUGUUCGAUUAUCUAGUUGGAGGGGUAACGGCCCACCAAGGCGAUGAUCAGUAGGCGGUCGUGGGGGAGGAACGGCAACAUUGGUACUGGGGCAAGGCCCAGAACGUCACGGGAGGCAGCAGUGGGGAAUCUUACGCAAUGGACGGAAGUCUGACGGAGCAACGCCGGGUGAGUGAUGACGGCCUUCGGGGUGUAAAGCUCUGUUAAUCGGGUCGCGGUACCGGAAUAGAAAGCCACGGCUAACUACGUGCCAGCAGCCGCGGUAAUAC